rnacentral:rRNA from 1 species
AUGAACGCUGGCGGCGUGCCUAAUACAUGCAAGUCGAGCGAACGGACGAGAAGCUUGCUUCUCUGAUGUUAGCGGCGGACGGGUGAGUAACACGUGGAUAACCUACCUAUAAGACUGGGAUAACUUCGGGAAACCGGAGCUAAUACCGGAUAAUAUUAUGAACCGCAUGGUUCAAAAGUGAAAGACGGUCUUGCUGUCACUUAUAGAUGGAUCCGCGCUGCAUUAGCUAGUUGGUAAGGUAACGGCUUACCAAGGCAACGAUGCAUAGCCGACCUGAGAGGGUGAUCGGCCACACUGGAACUGAGACACGGUCCAGACUCCUACGGGAGGCAGCAGUAGGGAAUCUUCCGCAAUGGGCGAAAGCCUGACGGAGCAACGCCGCGUGAGUGAUGAAGGUCUUCGGAUCGUAAAACUCUGUUAUUAGGGAAGAACAUAUGUGUAAGUAACUGUGCACAUCUUGACGGUACCUAAUCAGAAAGCCACGGCUAACUACGUG